rnacentral:rRNA from 1 species
GAUGAACGCUGGCGGCGUGCUUAACACAUGCAAGUCGAGCGAGAAGUUUUGAAAAGAUUCUUCGGAUGAAAUUUAAAAUGGAAAGCGGCGGACGGGUGAGUAACGCGUAGGCAACCUGCCCCAUACAAAGGGAUAGCAUUUGGAAACGAAUAUUAAUACCUUAUGAAACUUAACUAGUGCAUGCUAGGUAGGUCAAAGAUUUAUCGGUAUGGGAUGGGCCUGCGUCUGAUUAGCUAGUUGGUGAGGUAACGGCUCACCAAGGCGACGAUCAGUAGCCGACCUGAGAGGGUGAACGGCCACAUUGGAACUGAGACACGGUCCAAACUCCUACGGGAGGCAGCAGUGGGGAAUAUUGCACAAUGGGGGAAACCCUGGUGCAGCAACGCCGCGUGAACGAUGAAGGCCUUUGGGUCGUAAAGUUCUGUUCUAGGUGAUGAAAACUGACAGUAACCGAGGAGAAAGCCCCGGCUAACUCCGUG